rnacentral:rRNA from 1 species
ACACAUGCAAGUCGAGCGGAUGAAGGGAGCUUGCUCCUGGAUUCAGCGGCGGACGGGUGAGUAAUGCCUAGGAAUCUGCCUGGUAGUGGGGGAUAACGUUCCGAAAGGAACGCUAAUACCGCAUACGUCCUACGGGAGAAAGCAGGGGACCUUCGGGCCUUGCGCUAUCAGAUGAGCCUAGGUCGGAUUAGCUAGUUGGUGAGGUAAUGGCUCACCAAGGCGACGAUCCGUAACUGGUCUGAGAGGAUGAUCAGUCACACUGGAACUGAGACACGGUCCAGACUCCUACGGGAGGCAGCAGUGGGGAAUAUUGGACAAUGGGCGAAAGCCUGAUCCAGCCAUGCCGCGUGUGUGAAGAAGGUCUUCGGAUUGUAAAGCACUUUAAGUUGGGAGGAAGGGCUGUAGGCUAAUAUCCUGCGGUUUUGACGUUACCAACAGAAUAAGCACCGGCUAACUUCGUGCCAGCAGCCGCGGUAAUACGAAGGGUGCAAGCGUUAAUCGGAAUUACUGGGCGUAAAGCGCGCGUAGGUGGUUCGUUAAGUUGGAUGUGAAAGCCCCGGGCUCAACCUGGGAACUGCAUCCAAAACUGGCGAGCUAGAGUACGGUAGAGGGUAGUGGAAUUUCCUGUGUAGCGGUGAAAUGCGUAGAUAUAGGAAGGAACACCAGUGGCGAAGGCGACUACCUGGACUGAUACUGACACUGAGGUGCGAAAGCGUGGGGAGCAAACAGGAUUAGAUACCCUGGUAGUCCACGCCGUAAACGAUGUCAACUAGCCGUUGGAAUCCUUGAGAUUUUAGUGG